rnacentral:lncRNA from 1 species
CCCCUGCACAUAUAUGCCUUAAUACUCAAAGGACAGCAUUCAUGUACACACACACACACACAUCACACACACACACACCACACAAACACAUCACACACACAUCACAUAUCACCACACAUACAUCACACACACAUAUCACACACAUACACACACAUCACACAUACACACCACACAAACUCACACCACUAAAAGGAAAGUGGGGAAUGAAAUCAAGCCGGGCUGCAAACCAGAGACUCUGUGUCCUGACAAGAUGUUUAGGAAUGCCAAGGUGCCUGAGAAUGGAUUCAAGAUGCCCCUGCUCAGACAAGAUUUGUUAACAGCGCAAGAAUCCGACGAACGAUUCCCCGGUGACCCUGACUCUUUACUGAAGAAGACCAUGGUGGAAAACGGUUCCACCCCUGCUCAUGUGCCCCUGAAGACCAAAUCUCUCACUUGGAGUUUACUGAUGGUGGGAAGAAUUUUUCUCAGGUGAUGUCCGGCUCUAACCUGUUCAAGCAUUGUGACCCCCACCACAGCCUACCUGGCUGGGUCUGAAGGGCAUGCUGAUGCCAAGGGCAUGCAUGGUCCUACACCUCAGUGGCACUGCGCUCAAGAGGGGAGUAGCCCUGAAGCCGCUCCUCACCAGCAUAGGCAGCCACGACAGACCUGUUACAUGCAAGUGACUGUGACCACAUUAAUGCAUCUUGUGACCCCAAAUGAGAGGACAGCUGUGCUAAUUGGGUCCCAAACUAUAACAAGAGGAUGGGAUCUGAAACAGCCAAGGAGAAGAUGAUGUUUACUAAAACCUAAUCAUACAAACUCAUCACUAAUACCUUGUCCCCCUCUAGGUGGGCAGGAACCUGAGUGUGUGAGUGGCCUGAGCUCAAGGCCAUUGGCUGCUUAGGAAAGUCACUGCAGAGCCCACAGCUAGGCUUCUCCCUGCCCCUCCCUGGUGGGCAUCCUCCAUGGCUCCCCACUGCCUUCAGGUAAAGGCUGACCCUGGGGGCUUCAGCUGUCACUGGGGGCUCCCUUAGCUCCCCAGUGUGCUGAACUGUUUGUGGAAGAGCAAAGCUAUAGGCAACAGGCAAACUUCAGGUGCAGCAGGGAUGAUAAAUAGACCUGGAACCCAUCCAUUGUUCUUACAGGCUCAGGGCAUUGCUAAUAUAUUCGAGGCGGUCCUGGGUGUUCACCAGAGUGAUGGGGCCGGUUUGGGGGUGGGGGGCAGUGCCCUGAUGCCAAGAUGUCCCCUGUUGAGGCCAGUGGAGGUGUCAG